ACUUAUACUACGACCUAAAAGUAUGUACUGUUUUUGUGAGGAAAAUGUACGUACUUUUGAGUGUGUAUCAAAAGAGUAUGCACGUUCUGGGACGUACUUCGAUGACGUCAUGCAACGUGAACGACAACGUGGUUGCCUAGUUACGCACACCAAACGCAGGUCGUUUGUGAGGCGGCUGGUUAUGAUGUUCAUCAUGUGCAACAAUGUGUGUAACGAAAGCUACUUAUUUUAAAGUCAAAAUAGUUAAAGUUUAUAGUAUAAGUAUUGUUUAACGUAUUUUAUGCUUAUUUUAUACUUAUGUAUGCAAAUCAAAAAUACCGCGAUGAAAAUGAACCAUGCUUUUACUAUAGUAAAAGUUUAGUAACCACAUUUCUUAAUAAAGUUAACAUUUGUACAGCCACAGUAUUACUACAAAUAAGUCAGUGUGGUUAAACUAUGAUUAGUGUAGUAAAAGGUGUUUAUUUUCAUAAGGGUUUAUAAUAAGGUAUAAAUCUAAGACAGAAACAUAAAAAGAAUUACAUAAAAAAGACACAUGCAUGACACAGUACUACAGCCAUGGUACUUUAUUUUCACAACAUCAACCGAAUAUUACGAGACAAUGAAAGAUAACUUUAAUUAGGGUUAAACAUUUGAAUUCUUACACUUAAAAGCUGAGGGCGCAUCUCCGCUGCUGCGUCUGGCUGCCAUAUUUACAUCACCACAAAGCUCCUCCCUCCCGCACGCAAUGGGUUGUGGGCAAUAUUAGCCGUUAGAGUGUGGAUUGAUCUGCACUUCGAAAUCUAACCGGAAAUAGUAGACCAUCCGGGUAUCUUUGGGAUACUCAUUUCAACAUACUACGUUUUGGGACGUACUAAUUCUAGUUUCGAAUACUAUUUAGGACGGAUAGUAUGCGAAUUGGGACUCAGCAUAGGUGUUUGUUUGCUGGCUGAACAGUACGAGGUCAUGUACCAUGUGACGCUGAAGAGGUUUCUGGGUAAAGAUGAUAGAAAUAUAAUGAAGUAACAGUGAAAGCUAAAACAUCAGACUGAUCCAAACACUGAAGAAAUUGGUGUGACUGCAAUCUGGCCAAAAUGAUAGAAAUAUAAUGAAGUAACAGUUAAAGCUAAAACAUCAGACUGAUCCAGACACUGAAGAAAUUGGUGUGACUGCAAUCUGGCCAAAAUUAUACAACUAUAGUGAAGUAAUCUACUGUAAUGAAGCUGCAGAACGACACAGAAACUCUGAGGACAUCAACACAGAAUAUCAAGACUCCCAAAGAGAUGUCUGUCCAGAUGAGGGUGCAUCAACAUUACCUUUGCUGACAAGUAUAUGCUUUAGAAAUGUUAGAAUAAUUACAGGACAACGGGAUUAGUUUUACAGGGGGACCUCUGAGAAAAUCGUGCUUCUCAGAGGUCCUCUGUGUUUUUAAUCCCUUCCGAAUCGGCCAUGUCUGUGUUUUGAUGACCUCCGUAAAAAUUCCAGAGCAAUUUACCUACUGUUUUCUGCCAAACUCAGAGGUCAUCUGAGAAAUUAAAUCCCGUCCAGAUGCAAAUGUCUGUGUUUGCCCGCAAUAUCUUUUGAAAACGCUGUUCUUGUUGUCUUUUGGCCAAAGUGAUCUGCCGUAAGAUCUACCGCGUAUAUAUAUUGUACUUCCUGAGUCCCAUUCAUUCAUAUAUGGAUGUUUUUUCCCCAUUCGGCGAAAUAAAAUAAUUAAAUCAGGACGAGCUGAAUAUCAAACACUGUUAAGACUAAACACUUUAAUAUCAGUAACUUAUAAGGUAAACUCAAACUUAUUUUGUUCAACUCCAAAAUGGUAAUGUUAAAUAAUAAAGAUAAUAAAUUGUUAUUAAUCAUUAUUUCUUCAAUUCGUUGGGUUUAUUAUAAGCAGCCAGUUAUAUAAAACACGUAGGCUACUUUAGUAUGAUUUGUAAAAGUUCUUUUGAUUUGUUAAAAUUUUUAAAGCAAAAUAUAAAACCUUACAAACACGCAUAUCCAGAGCACGUGGUCUUCUGCAAUGCCCAAACGCAUGAAACAGACACUCCCAUCUCUAGAAUUUUAAUCCCGUCCGAAUCUGUACAUUAAAUCACAGACGUCACGGGGGACAUGUUAAAAACUAAUCCCAUCCGAAAAGUGCUUAGGACUGAUUUUCUAAAGCAAGAUCAAUGUAGUUGUUGUUCAUGUUAUUUAGACCAUUUACUACAUAACAUUGUUCUGCUUUGAAUGUAGUUUUCAUUGUUGCUUUUAUUUUGUUUAUUUUAUUUGCUCAUAUUUCCUUAAUUCCCUAAUGCAUGUUGGUCUUAUAUUGUUUUCUCUGUAUAUUUAUCAAUUUAAAAAGCAUUGUUUAUGUAUGCAACCUUUAAUAUUUGUGUAUAAUAUUGUUUUGUGAUUGUGACAAUUGUGGAUUGUUCAGGGUUUUUUAUUAAAUAAACAUUUCAAACUCAAUUCAAGUUUUAAUUUUUUUAAGGGUUUGGGGGUGUGUAGUACAGUAUAGUGUGGGGGGAGCUUUGUAGUCUCUCUGCAUAGCAGGCAAAUAACCAAUCAAGUCACUAAUAUAUGAGGGCUUGGGUUGGGCUAAAAACAAAGUGUAACCAAUCAAAUCAUCUCAACUGGAAAGUUUCAAAGUUGUGUCCCAAUAGUUGUCAGAGUUUUGGGAGAGGGUUUUAAAA